rnacentral:tRNA from 1 species
GGACCCUUAGUUUAAUGGUAAAACAUUUCCUUCACACGGAAGAGAGCGCUGGUUCAAUCCCAGUAGGGUCCA